rnacentral:rRNA from 1 species
UACGAAGGGGGCUAGCGUUGCUCGGAAUCACUGGGCGUAAAGGGUGCGUAGGCGGGUUUUUAAGUCAGAUGUGAAAUCCUGGAGCUCAACUCCAGAACUGCCUUUGAUACUGAGAAUCUUGAGUAUGGGAGAGGUGAGUGGAACUGCGAGUGUAGAGGUGAAAUUCGUAGAUAUUCGCAAGAACACCAGUGGCGAAGGCGGCUCACUGGUACGGUAUUGACGCUGAGACGCGAAAGCGUGGGGAGCGAACAGG